UUCUCUCUCUUUAAUUUUCUCUCUCCUCAAAAACUCAUUAUAUUGUUGAAUUUUCUCUUUAAUUUCCUUCAGCCAUUUACCAUUGUCAAUUUGUUAUCUCCUUCAUGGCUUGACUCCUUCACUCCUCCACAACACGCGUUCCUUAAUUCUUCUCCUUCAUCAAUCAAGGUUUGGCAGCAAGAAGUAAUCACCCAUGUUCAAUUGGAAAUGUUGUGGAUCAAUUUUAAAGCUUGAGGUGGUGAACAAGGAUGACAACCAUGAUAAAUUGACACUCUUAACAUCGCCCGAUCUUAAUCCAAAUGAAAAUCUUAUUGCAUCUUCUAUUAUUUUUGAGAACUGUAAUUUGUGUUAAAAAAACUUUUGUCUUUUGAAACUUGGUUUGUAAUUAGUGAAUUGCACUUUUUAUCGGUUUAUAAUCGUUAAUUAGGAUUGUUA